UGCCUAAUACAUGCAAGUCCUAACGUGAAAGUCCUUCGGGAUGAGUAAAGUGGCGCACGGGUGAGUAACACGUAGGUAAUCUGCCUUUCAGCUGGGGAAUAACUUACGGAAACCUGAGCUAAUGCCGCUAUACGUAAGUAAUUAGAAAGGGGGCGUCCGCAAGGAGCUCUCGCUGAAAGAAGGGCCUGCGUCCUAUUAGCUUGUUGGUGGGGUAAUGGCCUACCAAGGCAACGAUAGGUAUCCGGUCUGAGAGGAUGAUCGGACACACUGGAACUGAGACACGGUCCAGACUCCUACGGGAGGCAGCAGUAGGGAAUAUUGCGCAAUGGGGGAAACCCUGACGCAGCAACGCCGCGUGAGUGAGGAAGGUCUUCGGAUUGUAAAACUCUUUUCUUAGAGAAAAAUGGCAACAGAGCUAAUACCCUGUUGUUUGAUGGUAUCUAAGGAAUAAGCACCGGCUAACUUCGUGCCAGCAGCCGCGGUAAUACGAAGGGUGCAAGCGUUGUUCGGAAUCAUUGGGCGUAAAGCGCGCGCAGGCGGAUUGAUAAGUCAGGUGUGAAAUCUCGGAGCUCAACUCCGAAACUGCGCCUGAAACUAUUAGUCUAGAAUGUCGGAGGGGGCAGGGGAAUUUCACGUGUAGGGGUAAAAUCCGUAGAGAUG
rnacentral:rRNA from 1 species